GUCCACGCCGUAAACGAUGAGUGCUAGGUGCUGCGGGUAUUGACCCCUGCGGUGCCGUAGCUAACGCGUUAAGCACUCCGCCUGGGGAGUACGGCCGCAAGGCUAAAACUCAAAGGAAUUGACGGGGGCCCGCACAAGCGGUGGAGCAUGUGGUUCAAUUCGACGCAACGCGCAGAACCUUACCUGGGUUAAAUCCACUCGAACCUUGCAGAGAUGCGGGGGUGCUCUUCGGAGAGCGAGUGAGAAGGUGCUGCAUGGCUGUCGU
rnacentral:rRNA from 1 species